rnacentral:piRNA from 8 species
GCAUCGGUGGUUCAGUGGUAGAAUGCU